AACAAAGUCUCACAACAAAAGGUUAAAACCCAUUUUCAAUUCUUCUCUCAAGCUUUUCUUCUUUAUAAUUAAAAGCAUUCAUCUUUUUUCUCAUUCUUCCUUUCCGUUAAUGAAGCUAAUUCGCUCAGCCCACUUCUACUCUCUCGUAUUUAUUUUUCAUGAACAAAAGUCAUACUUGCUUGUUUGGCUCUCUCUGACGCAUCAAUCAACUUUUCUAAGAUUUUGUAGAAAACAGAAAGACAAAAUUACCUAAGCGAAUUAGCUUCACAAAUGAAAAAGAAGAAAGAGAAAGAAGACGAAUGCUUUUGAUUAUGAAGAAGAAAACCUUGAGAGAAGAGUGGAGAGUAGGUUUUGACCCUUUGUUGUCAGACAUUGUUAUCCAUUUGCAGACAGAAGGGAGAAGAAAGUUCAAAGUAUUGUGUAUUGGAUGUCAUCUUCAAUUGGUGUAUUGGAUGUAGCUUUUCAAGUGGGCCCCAUUUGUAAGUGGGCAACUUGCCCACUUGGUAUUUGCUCUUCUUAACUAUGUCUAUAUAUAUAGGCAAGAUUGUUAUGGAAAAAUGCAUUGAACGGACAUAAUAUAGAUACAUACUUCUCCUCUA